rnacentral:tRNA from 1 species
GGCCCCAUGGUCAAGCGGUUAAGUAACCGCCCUUUCACGGUGGUAACAGGGCUCCGAAUCCCCUUGGGGUCA